UAUUCUAUACAAUGGGUAUAC
rnacentral:piRNA from 1 species